UACUUUGAAAUACUUCAUUUUACUUUCCAAAUACCUUUUUUUAAAUAUGAACUUCUAUAUUUAUUUCCUUAGAACUUAUUAUUAUUUCCCUCCGAACAAAAAAACAUGAUUGGUUUAUUUACCCAUAAAAUAUUUGAAGUAUGUCAAAUGAAAAAACAUUCCUAGGCCUGGAAGUGAGAAAACACAUUACACUCAUCGAGGUAGAUAUCAUUCUGUGCGUACCUUGCCAUAGACCACAUCGGAUUUUAAGAUUCUAGAUGAACUUCAGCAAAGUGAAGUGAAACCUUUUUCUAACCUGAGAACUGCAGAAAAUUAGCUUGAUUUAUUUAACCUAAGCAAAUAAACUCUUAACUACUUAUGGCAAGUAUAUUUGAACUGAUGUAUCCUUUUUCUAGUUACUGAAUUGUUGUAGUAUUACUUCCUGCCCUUCCAAACUCGUACUGAAAACAUGUACCAAAGAACAUCAUGCAUCAGUGUUCAGAAGACAUACAAGAGCUACACACUGCCGUGAGGUACCAACUUUUCAACGGUUCAGUUCAAAAUUCAACAAUUCAAUUUUCAAUAGAUCAAACCAAGGAAAGACAACUGACCGAAGGGGUGGCCAACGGCCACAGUUGCUCACUGCGUGCACGACAGUGUCCAACAACCUCUAUCCUGGCUCAUUGUGGAACGACGUGCUGGGCGUAAUCCACGGC
rnacentral:lncRNA from 1 species